AGUGAACGCUGGCGGUAGGCCUAACACAUGCAAGUCGGACGGCAGCACAGUAAGAGCUUGCUCUUACGGGUGGCGAGUGGCGGACGGGUGAGGAAUACAUCGGAAUCUACUUUUUCGUGGGGGAUAACGUAGGGAAACUUACGCUAAUACCGCAUACGACCUACGGGUGAAAGCAGGGGAUCUUCGGACCUUGCGCGAUUGAAUGAGCCGAUGUCGGAUUAGCUAGUUGGCGGGGUAAAGGCCCACCAAGGCGACGAUCCGUAGCUGGUCUGAGAGGGUGAUCCGCCACACUGGAACUGAGACACGGUCCAGACUCCUAAGGGAGGCAGCAGUGGGGAAUAUUGGACAAUGGGCGCAAGCCUGAUCCAGCCAUACCGCGUGGGUGAAGAAGGCCUUCGGGUUGUAAAGCCCUUUUGUUGGGAAAGAAAAGCAGCAGGUUAAUACCCCGCUGUUCUGACGGUACCCAAAGAAUAAGCACCGGCUAACUUCGUG
rnacentral:rRNA from 1 species